GAGCUCUUGUAUUCGAGCCCCCUGACUUGUAAUAUGAUGCUUGUAUGACUUAUUUUAUUUGUAGAGUUGUGUUGUGAUAUCUUCCCGUGAGUCCCUGAUCUUGAUCAUACACAUUUGCGUGUAUGAUUAGUGUACGAUUGAAUCGGGGGGCGUCACAGCUGAUCCUUCGUGGGUGAAUUGGAUCCUCGGUGAAAGUCAACUUGUCCGAUCGCUACGCGUGGUGGUUGAGGAAAGGCGGAAACAACGGGACGUGCGACGAUGUCGAACCGCUUGUCCUCUUGCAUGCCGCACCCUAGAUUCUUUUCCCCCAAUCUCCACAGCCGUCUCCCACACCCUUCCUCCUCCUUCCUUCCUCGCUCGUCAGCCACCGCAGCCGCCGCACCCUCCCACAUCGGACGCUGCUAGGCUCGUCCAUGGCUCCAUCUCUCGUCCCAGCCUGACUCAGGCGGAGCCAGGGCAGCAGAGAGGAGGAAGGGAGGCAGAGGAACGAUGGGGAAGGGGAUGUCAGAAUCCAAUCGCCCCGGCCGUGCCUACACGAGUAGCACCGCUUCUUCCCUCCCCGACGAGGGGUAGGUCUUGACAAUGGCUGCCCGAGGCCGUCAGAUCCAUCACCGUCGUCGUUCUUUUGGUCGAGGCAGUCGUCGUCCACGUGCUCCUCUUCACCACCACAGCUGGACGCUGAUUUGCCCAGUUCUCAGUCUAGAUUUAAUGAAGGAAACAGCUGUUCAUACAUCGCCAAUUAUGGAUAUGGAUCCAUCUUGCUGCGCUGGAUGAAGGGUUGGAUGGAACAAGAAUUGCUUCCUCUAGGAAGAUAUAAUCAGGAGGGACCAUCUAAUGGUUGCUAAAGUUACUUCUGAAUGCACUCUCUAAAGAUCGGGCUGGGCUUGACCGGGUUUUUGGAGUUCUCUUCUCGUUUCUUAGGAUCCUCAUGCUGUUUGACAAGGGGUUCCUUGCAAUGGGAAAUGUUCUCUUCGUCUCUGGUGUUCCGCUAACGAUUGGACUAAAGUCAACUUUCCAGUUCUUCACAAAGCCUAAGAAUCGCAAGGUCAUAUACAUGUAAUAUUUAAUUAGGCACUUUUGCUAUCCCUGGAACUACACAAGUCAAUAGAGCUGAUGUUCAUCAUUGUUUCUGGAUUGUACAUCUUUCAGUUGGAUUAAGGUUUUUCCUAUUGUCUGCAAAUGAAACGAACUUGAUGUACCUCUGGUAUGGUAAAAGAAGAGAUUGCCCUUUCCUUUUGUAAAA